CCCAUGGCCCCAAAUUUCUCACAUUUAGCAAAAACCUAAUCUUCCUCCCAACUGAUUAAUCGUCUCCGGCCUUUCCUCUCCGUCGUUGUCGUUUCACUUCUGAGUCAUUUAACAUUUUCUUUACUCUCUCUUCUUUUAUGGUUUCGUUCCAACUCCCUACGUUUCUCCUCCUAUAUAAAGUCUUUUGUAUCAACCAAAAACCUACAGCCUCACGGAAAAAGACAAAACUACUGCUGCUAAAUCCACCAGACACUCUCCCGUCUACAGCUGUGCAGCCGAGGAGGUUUCAAGCAGUGGUUCCAUGGUCGGUGCUUUAGUGGCUACCUCCGACUGGUUUACUGAUGGCAGCCAGGGUUUGCAAACAAUGACAGAGACAGAGGAAGAUGUGGAAACCUGCGGAGGAGUAGGGUUCCGAACGGAGCUCAAAGUAUUCAUAUCAGCUUCCUAAGGUAUGGAUUUUAAAGUCUGUAAUAAAUUUGAAACUUCUUGCUACGGUUCAAGGUGUUGUUGUCUACCUUAUGCAGCAGGACAACGUCAAACGUUUUCCUUCCUUUGACCAUUCUAAUUAUAGCAUAUCUUCAGGUCGAUUAAGGACUAGAUUCACUAUAUCAUUGUUUGAGAAUGAGAUCAUUAACCUAAACUUUCAGGUUUAUAAUAUGUUCAAGCUCUGAUUACUUGCAGCUCUUCUAAUUCAUUGUUUAUUCUGCUUAAAUGCAUAUGCAACAACCGGAAUCAUGUGUAUAUGUUAUGUUUUGCAUGUAUUAGCUUUCGAAAAAGACUUUGCAAGUAGAGAUGUUGAAGCUUUUGCAUCUGUUGAUAAAUUCAUCGAAACCAGUGGUGGAGAUUCUGCUGAUAACAUCAGUUGGAUUUUAUAUGGCUUUUGAUGGAGUCAAUCUUCUUGGUCAUGAUACUUAAGAAAUAUUUGAACAGCGUUGGUUAUUACUUAAUUAACUCUUUCUAUUUAUAAAUCUAAUAUACAACUCAACCUUAAUUUUUUUUUUAUGUAUAGAUUGUCUUCUAUGUGUUUAGUCCUUCGCUAUUGGAAACCGUUUAGCUGGUAGCGUAACAUAUGAAAGCUUGGUGAACAUCUGGGUUGUAUUCUCAUCACUAAGCCUUCUUCGCCUAGAUCUUCGUGGUCUCAUUGUUGGUUGAUGUGCGGCUGGGAAUCUGGGAAUAUACCAUCAAUCAUAAUCCCAACUGUUUAUAAAGACAAAGGAGAGGUCUAUUUGAAGAUCCUGAGAAUUGCCACAAAUAUGGAAUGGGUUAUGUUGCACUCUCCAUGUCCGUAAGUAGUCAUCUCACUUCUUCAAAGUUUUAUCGGUGUAUAUUUUAUUUUUGGCAUCAGCCACCAGCUAUACAUAUAUCAUACAGCUAUACAAUGAAGAAAUAAUAAUUUUCAAUUUAUAUAUUUUGUUUUCAAAAAGAAUUAUAACAAUCUUAGUUGUAACAGAUGUAGCUGAGAUUUUGUAACAUACACACAAUUCCCAAAAAUCACCAAGAACCCUUAUUGUUGCACACCUGAAAGAAUAGUUGAUCACGAGUAUGUUUCAAUGAAAAUCAUAAAUCUUCUUUCUGUAAAAAGAAAUAAAAACCCUUUGAAGACUGUUUACGAAGUUGCAGUCGAGUGCUUUGGUUUGGAGAUUUGAAUUACAGAGUUUCUUUAUCCUAUUAAGAGAUGAGUAUUUCUAGAGACAAUGAUUGUGACACACUACUUGAGAAAGACCAGGUUUUGUAGUAGAAAUUAUCUUUAAAACUCAAAUCUUUAUUGAAGACCAAGAUGAGUGUUUCUCUCGAAACUCAGAUUCUCACGCCGGAGAAGCCACUAAGUCUAAAGAAAAACUAUGUACUCAUGCUUGGUUGGUACUAUCCAAAACUCUAGAAACACGUUUUUGUGGUGUGUUUGGAAUGUUUUCAGGUUUGAUCUGAUUCCAUGAGGAGGAGAAGGAAUAGAACUUUCUUAUACUCUAGGAGAAUCACGGUUUUCAGAUCACAGACCGGUUUGUGCAAAUAUUUGCAGGAGAAGUUGUUGUGAAGAGUCUGAGAAACAUAGAUAAUGUUAUUCAUGUGCGGCUGCAAGAUUGGUUGAGGAUUGCACUCCAAACUCAUAGUUUUAACUAAGAUUAUUAUAGUUCUUUUUGAGAACAAAAUAUAUGAUUUUUAAUAGUAAUUUUUCCUCAUUGUGUGUAUGGUUAAUUUUUGGCAUCAGCCGUCAUGAUACAUAUAUGUACUUCAAUGUUAUCAGAUGAGAUCUGUUUGCAUAUGAAGUUAUUGACA